rnacentral:rRNA from 1 species
GGACUACCGGGGUUUCUAAUCCCGUUCGCUCCCCCAGCUUUCGCGCCUCAGCGUCAAGUCAGCUCCAGGAGACCGCCUUCGCCACUGGUGUUCCUACCGAUCUCUACGCAUUUCACCGCUACACCGGUAAUUCCAUCUCCCCCUAGCCACUUCAAGAGGAACAGUAUCCACCGACCCUCCGGGGUUGAGCCCCGGGCUUUCACAGCAGACUUGCUCCCCCGCCUACGCGCGCUUUACGCCCAGUAACUUCGGACAACGCUCGCCCCCUACGUAUUACCGCGGCGGCUGGCAC